rfam:Schistosoma curassoni strain Dakar, Senegal genome assembly, scaffold: SCTD_scaffold0000013
ACCCAGCUGACGAGUUUCAAACAGGACGAAACGCGCGUCAAACUGGAU